rnacentral:tRNA from 1 species
CGGGCAAUAGCGCAGCUGGUAGCGCGCUACGUUCGGGACGUAGAGGUCCCGGGUUCAAAUCCCGGUUGCCCGA